rnacentral:RNase_P_RNA from 1 species
AAAGUUGGCUGGAUAAUCGCUCUUUUUAGGGAGGAAAGUCCGGGCACCAAAGGGUAGGAUGCCAGAUAACAUCUGGGUGGCGUGAGCCAACGGAAAGUGCCACAGAAAAUAUACCGCCUCUUUUAGAGGUAAGGGUGAAAUGGUGUGGUAAGAGCACACCGCAUGCUUGGCAACAAGCAUGGCAGGGUAAACCCCAUCCGGUGCAAGACCAAAUAGGGAUGCAAUAGGUGUGACCCGCACUGCAUCCGGGUAGGUUGCUUGAGAUGCAUAGUGAUAUGUAGUCCAGAUGAAUGAUUGUCUUUAACAGAACCCGGCUUAUAGGCCAGCUUUGCCU